rnacentral:rRNA from 1 species
UACGGGGGGGGGGCAAGCGUUGUUCGGAUUUACUGGGCGUAAAGGGCUCGUAGGUGGCCAAUUAAGUCGGACGUGAAAUCCCCAGGCUCAACUUGGGAACUGCGUCUGAUACUGGUUGGCUUAAAUUCGGGAGAGGGAUGCAGAAUUCCAGGUGUAGCGGUGAAAUGCGUAGAUAUCUGGAGGAACACCGGUGGCGAAGGCGGCAUCCUGGACCGGUAUGACACUGAGGCGCGAAAGCCAGGGGAGCAAACGGGGAU